CCGUGGGGGAUGUCCAGUUUUUUUUUCCUCUUCCCAAGUACAGACGCAGAGCGGGCUUGUCUUUCCGCUUAACCUCAACCUCGUGUGAUCUGCCAGUUUCGCUCCCGGUUAGCCCAGGACUUUUUAUAGCAUAGAAUUUUAAAGCAAGGGCUUAGAAUCAGACUUGGGUCAAAAUCCUGCCUUCCACCUUCACCAAGACCCCAAAUUCCAGCGAAACAGCUGAUGCCAGCCAGCUUGAAGACCCCUGCCACAGAAGAAGGGAAUCAGCAUGAGAAUACAGCUUCAUCUCCCUGUCCCAUGACUUCGCCCUGUACUCUUCAGCCAAUUAAUGAUCUCCACACUUGGGACCACUCCAAAACCCUUAAGAACCUGAGCCUCAAAGUCCUCCUGGAGACGAAUUUGAGGUUUCCUACUAUCUGUGUUUGGUGGCCCUAUGAUUAAACCUCUUUCUCUUCUGCAACCUGGUGUCCCAGUGUAUUAACUUGCCAUGGGCAUCAGACAACAAACCUAUAUAUAGUAUCCCAAAUAUGGUGCUCCACUUUGAAACCUGAAGAAAUCCUGCAAUUGAGUUAGCCUUUUGAAAUAAAAAUUAUUUCAAAUUUAAAAAUAUUUAUAUAUGUUCCCACUUAAGAUAUCCACAAACAUUUGUAUACAACCUUUUAUCUUGCUUUGCUUCUUAAACAUUUCUGUAUGGCAAUUUCC
rnacentral:lncRNA from 1 species